UACGAAGGGGGCUAGCGUUGCUCGGAAUCACUGGGCGUAAAGGGUGCGUAGGCGGGUCUUUAAGUCAGGGGUGAAAUCCUGGAGCUCAACUCCAGAACUGCCCUUGAUACUGGCGAUCUCGAGUUCGGGAGAGGUGAGUGGAACUGCGAGUGUAGAGGUGAAAUUCGUAGAUAUUCGCAAGAACACCAGUGGCGAAGGCGGCUCACUGGCCCGAUACUGACGCUGAGGUGCGAAAGCGUGGGGAGCAAACAGG
rnacentral:rRNA from 1 species